UAUAAGCUACAAGCCUCUGCUUCCACAUGUUCUGCCUUUUUGGGCCAGACCAAUGGAAAAACCUCUUCACUAAACUUUGUCAAUCUCGAAAACAAAUAAAAGGAACCCCUGAAUGUGAUCACCCUGAGAAAGGCAUUUGGUUAUUUUUCCGUCGACACUUCCUAGACACAUUAUUUCAUUGCGACUGAACAAAAAAGACAUACAUUUCUGAGGAGAAAGCAAAGACAGAUGAGUAAGUCUCAGGAGUCUAACUUUCCACAGAAGAAAUCCUAAGAAUGCCGAAAAGAAGGAAGACUGCUUAUCAUGGGAGCGGUUGUUUUCCAUGAAGUUAACACAUCUUGUGAUACAGGUGCUUUCCCUAGCCCAUUUGUGGGCCUCAUGGCAGCGUCAUUGGCAUGGUACAAUCAUAAUUAAAGUCCAAGUAAGAAAUAUCACAUCGCAGAUGAACCAACCAUGAGUCCUCUCCAGACUUUGUUGGUACCCUACAGCCAACACGGAAGAGGCACAAAUAAAAGACCUGGAAGCUCAAGGAUGCAAAUUAUUAUCUUGCUUAAAAUGUGAAGAAAUCAACCCAAGGGCACCCAGCCCAUUGCCCGACAUGUGGGAGGCACCCAGCAGGUAUUAAUAUUUCCUAAAUUGACACUUCCCACCUCUGUGCUCCCACAGCAUUUAAAACCUAACAUUAUG